rnacentral:tRNA from 2 species
GGGCUUGUAGCUCAGCGGUAGAGCGCUCGCUUUGCAAGCGAGAGGCCGGGAGUUCGAAUCUCCCCAAGUCCA